UUGCCUCCGGGCAACGUGGCCCCUGACGAGGCUUCUCGACCAGGACCAGCUCUGGUAUAUCUGGGUGGAGCCAGAUCUGAAUGGCGUGGCCGCGGCUAGUCGCGCUCGCCGAUAGUGGGGAUAAACUACAAUCGUGCCGCGCAGCUCGGCGUCGCGCAACUCCGUGCGGCGCCUUUGACGCGGCCCGAUCGGCGCGAUCUGACAUUCUACCGGAGGCGGCGCCUGUCAUGGGCGGUUCCCCUGCUCUGGAUCGGGGAAACCCCGACGACGCCAUUGUUUUCGGCGCGGGAUGCCGCGGAACGCAGCGCGUGCGAGCUUCACGCCGACGCCCGGCGUCGCGACGCCACUCUCGCACGCAACGCCGUCGUCGGCCGUCGCCCGUCGCCGUCACCGUCGUCCGUCUCUUUCCCUGUCUACCGCCAACAUUGACUCGCUCCACUCGGAUUUUUCGCGAGGCUUCGCGGCGCCGGUGCAUCUCGGCAAGUGCAUCUUCUCUUUGCGGCAAACCGGGGCGCCCGACAUCGCGGUGUAAUCAGACACCGGUGCGCGAGAAGAAGGAGGAAGGGAUGAAAGCAGAGAGACGUAAAUGUAAUUGGAAACAUCCGAGAGGGAGAUUUGCCUCGUCUGUUUCCAUUCUUCCCCUUCGAAUGCAUGCCGCCGCUUUUUCUCGCGUUCAUCCGCAAACUUUCGCGAGUCGCGCUCGUCGUGUACGACAACGAGAUCACUCAGUCCGGUGACAGGAGUGCGUCCGACCGCGUUCUGGUGAGAAGGACGAUGGAGGUGGCAGGACGAGGAAGCGAGCGGAGGGAAAGGAGACAUACGUUCGAGAGACAGAAAGAGAAAAGACUGACACGGAGCAGCGAUGAACAAACGGACCACCCCGUCUGCGAGCGAUCAUGUUCCGAUCACGUAAACUAGCCGCCCCCUCAUCCAUCAUGCCUUCGUCAUGCGCUAUCACGUGUUACCGGUCUCUCUGCCAAGCUUCUCUCGUCUAAUCAUUCUUUUUCUACCGCGUCUCUUCUCUCGCGACGUCGCAAAUUGGUGCUGGAGAACGCGUGGAACUGGUUGCAUCGACCGGUCACAAUUCUCAGACACGCAACUUAUAGAAUGAAGCAUAUAUUUAUAUAUUGCUGGCGCUUAAGAAGAGUGGCUUUCAUAACGCGAGUAGCAGCAAUCCGGCGUUCUCCGCUGGACAGUGGAUCACUAAUUGCUGAUUGAUCAUUUCUGAAUAACGCAAUUAACCGAGCGAGAUGCUUGCGCAAUUGCAAAGGGAAUAUCAGGUGGAUUGCGAAAAGGGUAGGCUUUAAGUCGGCAACUCGAGACAAGAGGCUUCUGCAAUAAUCAACUCUGCAUAACCUCGAUAACUUUAUCACUUUUAUAUAUCCACUUUUUAUAUA